AGUAAAUAGAUACCCAGGUAGUCCACGCCGUAAACGAUGAGUACUGGGUGUAGGAGGUAUCGACUCCUUCUGUGCCGCAGUUAAACACAAUAAGUACUCCGCCUGGGAAGUACGGUCGCAAGAUUAAAACUCAAAGGAAUUGACGGGGGCCCGCACAAGCAGCGGAGCAUGUGGUUUAAUUCGAAGCAACGCGAAGAACCUUACCUAGACUUGACAUCCCCUGAAUAACGUAGAGAUACGCGAAGCCCUUCGGGGCAGGGAGACAGGUGGUGCAUGGUUGUCGUCAGCUCGUGUCGUGAGAUGUUGGGUUAAGUCCCGCAACGAGCGCAACCCUUAUCAUUAGUUGCUACCAUUUAGUUGAGCACUCUAGUGAGACUGCCCGGGUUAACCGGGAGGAAGGCGGGGAUGACGUCAAAUCAUCAUGCCCCUUAUGUCUAGGGCUACACACGUGCUACAAUGGUGAGAACAACGAGAUGCAAUACCGCGAGGUGGAGCAAAACUUCAAAACUCAUCUCAGUUCGGAUUGUAGGCUGAAACUC
rnacentral:rRNA from 1 species